rnacentral:piRNA from 1 species
UGGAAUGUUUCUCAGCCAUUAGUUCAUGCCA